GGUGGUUUUCAAGUGACACACCCCAGAAUUGUGCUCCCUCCUCUCUGGUUCUGGGUUGCAUCACCUGAGAACCACC
rfam:Myotis lucifugus cont2.22360, whole genome shotgun sequence.